ensembl:lncRNA
CCCAAUUCAGGGUCUGCAGCCUUUUUUUCCCUCACUUUAUUUAUCUCAUUUUAGACAUACAGUCAAGGGGUCUGCAGCCUUAAAGGCCGCAUUUUAAGGCCAAAGGCUGUCCCAAUUCAAAGGCUGCUCGAAAUGCGGCCCUCAAAUGCGUCCUUCAUUUCCCUGAAUUUUAAGGAUGGGUCAGUGUAGCCUUCAUGGCCCAACAUAUCCCAGACUUCAUAACGCGGCGGUGGUGUGGAUAAUUUUGCCGAAAAAAACCGUGGAAGCGAAGCGGCCGAAGAGUACUUUCAAAACUUAUCACACAUUUGAUUUCCAUGUGUGACAACUGCAAGUGUCCAGAGUGAGGACAGACUGAGGGACCCACUGCUGCACAUCAUCUGUGAGGCUUUGC